GCCAGGCAUGGUGGCUCAUGCCUGUAAUCCCAGUACUUUGGGAGGCUGAGGUGGGAGGAUCACUUGAGGUCAGGAGUUCGAGACCAGCCUGGCCAACAUGGUGAAACCCCAUCUCUA
rnacentral:SRP_RNA from 1 species